GCAAGCCUCCCAGGGGUGUCCUCCAGCGGUUCAGCGUCGAAAGGAAGUCAGCGUGAAGCUGUCUGAGAACCCAGACACUAUUGGUAGUGAAGAUGCCGCCCUGGAAACUGUUGGCUCCUUUGACUGCAAGAUUCCAGCAGCCUCCUGCAGCAGGCCAUGAGAAUCUGGGUGCUGGGAGUUACUUUUCAGGUCUGACUGCUCAUGCAGAAGAGGAAACUGAAAGAAUUGUAGUCAUCUCAGAAGCGAGUAGGCCAUGGUCUACAGCAACUAUGAAUGAAAUGUCAUUUUGUCUUUUGUAUGUGUGUAUAUAUUUAAAUACAGUUUGUGUUU